rnacentral:rRNA from 1 species
GCCCUUAGAGUUUGAUCCUGGCUCAGAUUGAACGCUGGCGGCAUGCUUUACACAUGCAAGUCGAACGGCAGCGCGGGGAGCUUGCUCCCUGGCGGCGAGUGGCGCACGGGUGAGUAAUACAUCGGAACGUGUCUUCUAGUGGGGGAUAACUGCCCGAAAGGGCAGCUAAUACCGCAUGAGACCUGAGGGUGAAAGCGGGGGAUCGCAAGACCUCGCGCUGGAAGAGCGGCCGAUGUCCGAUUAGCUAGUUGGUGAGGUAAAGGCUCACCAAGGCGACGAUCGGUAGCUGGUCUGAGAGGACGACCAGCCACACUGGGACUGAGACACGGCCCAGACUCCUACGGGAGGCAGCAGUGGGGAAUUUUGGACAAUGGGGGCAACCCUGAUCCAGCCAUGCCGCGUGCAGGAUGAAGGUCUUCGGAUUGUAAACUGCUUUUGUCAGGGACGAAAAGGGAUGCGAUAACACCGCAUUCCGCUGACGGUACCUGAAGAAUAGCACCGGCUAUU